ensembl:antisense Gm26879 predicted gene, 26879
ACAAGUCUUGCAAAAGUGCCCUCGGCCGGGCGCGGGUGUCCCGCGUCGCCUCAGUUCGCCCGCUACCACACACGCCUCCGGCUCACCACCCUGAGUUGCUUUCGGUUUCUGAGGAGCCGGGACGGUCAGCUCACCCGGACUUCGCCACUUGCGGGGCUCGCGGAGCUCCGCUGGCGCCCUACGGCGGCGGGCACUAGGCUGCUUCGCCUCAGCAGCGGGUCCACAGUAAUUGCAGCCUGUAUGAGCCUGCAUCUCAAAUCUAACCUCUUCCAAGUCAGACAAACGCGGGAAAUACUUAGCUGUCUUGAGCAUCAAAUGUUCAUCACGGAGAGAAGAGAGUACUAGGGCCCUUGCAGUGGACACAGGCUACAGUGGAAAGCCUGCUCAUCAGGUGGCUCGUGUAAAGGAUGGCAAGCAGCAAUCCCCAGCAGAAAGCAAGCCUCUGAUUGUGGUGUGCAUAGAAGACUUGCUGGCUUACCAAGUGUGUUGCACCAACACCUUGUUUGUAAAGAAAAUUGCAACACAUCCCUCAGAUACAGCACCUAAGCCACAGAUACUGAACAUCUGGACAGAUGCUGGUGCUGAACAACUUGACUGACAUCUCCCACAGACUGUACUGCAGGUCUACUGACGAGAGACAAGACGAUGAAAGCUGUCACGGUAUAAUAUGCACGUACACAAGACAAGUGCUUUCAAAAAUGCUCUAGACAGUUUAAGAUACAUAACCGUCUUCCAUGGCUUUUAAAGUAAAAAUAAGUAUAAAUUCUCUAUUAUUAUUUUUAGAUCAGUUACAUUUUAUACGGGGCAUAAACUAUUAAGGUGAUCUGAUGAGAAAAAAAAAAGGGCCUUUUCUGCAAGCCACUUUCAAUCACAUCAGAAUAGAGGGUCCUUUUGAAGGGAAAGCUGAAAAUUAAAAUUGACCAAUGGGCUGGAGAGCCCAUAAAGGGAUUAUUUUUUUCCAGUACUUAAGGAAACAUGACCCCUCUGAUGUGGGCAGCCUGCGGCCCUAGCAAGUGUCCCUCUACAGCAAGCCAUGCUUCCCAUAUGAAGUCAUUCUAUCAAAGCUGUCAGUAACACGCUGUUGAAACUCCGCCAUAGUAAAAUAUUCUUUGUGGGUGCUAAUGACUUUGCAUUGGAAUAAAAAGGCCUUAAGCCUCUGUUUCUUC